rnacentral:misc_RNA from 1 species
AACGCACCUUGCGCUCCUUGGUAUUCCGAGGAGCAUGCCUGUUUGAGUGUCGUGAAAUCCUCAACCUCCUGACUUGUUGUUGGCCGAGGCUUGGACUAUGGAGUUUGCUGGUCCCCCUUCACAGGGAGGUCCGCUCCUCUUAAAUGCAUCAGCGAACCCGCAACGGCGAAGCUUUGGUUUGAUAAUCACUUUGUCAAAGCCAUUGCUCGACAUCGCUGUCGCUUCGCUUUUGAACCCGUCCAGGAGACGGAAUUUUUGACACUUUGACCUCAAAUCAGGUAGGACUACCCGCUGAACUUAA